rnacentral:rRNA from 1 species
CUAUCGGGUGAGGGGUGAAAGCUUCCGACUCAAUCGGAAAAUUGCCUUUCAAACUGUUAGACUUGAGGAUGGAAGAGGAAAAUGGAAUUCUCGGUGUAAGGGUGAAAUCUGUAGAUAUCGAGAAGAACACCAGCGGCGAAGGCGAUUUUCUGGUCCAUUCCUGACACUGAAUUGCGAAAGCUAGGGGAGCAAACAGAAUUAGAUACUCUGGUAGUCCUAGCUGUAAACGAUGAGCACUAGGUGUUGGCCCCUUAAAAGGUCAGUGCCGCAGCUAACGCAUUAAGUGCUCCACCUGGGGACUACGACCGCAAAGUUAAAACUCAAAGGAAUUGACGGGGACCCGCACAAGCGGUGGAACAUGUGGUUCAAUUCGAUGCUACGCGAAGAACCUCACCAGGGCUUGACAUGUAGGAAGUAGUGAACUGAAAGGGGAACGACCUGUCAAGUCAGGAACUUACACAGGUGCUGCAUGGCUGUCGUCAGCUCGUGUCGUGAGAUGUUGGGUUAAGUCCCGCAACGAGCGCAACCAUUAUCUCUUGUUGCCACUUCUUUUCGUCGUAAGACGGAAAGGAAGCACUCUAGAGAGACUGCCUGGGUUAACCAGGAGGAAGGCGGAGAUGACGUCAAGUCAGUACGGCCUUUAUGCCCUGGGCUACACACGUGUUACAAUGGCUAGGACAGAGAGUUGCCAACCCGCGAGGGGGAGCUAAUCUCACAAAACUAGCCUCAGUUCGGAUUGGAGUCUGAAA